GGGGGUAGAACUAGUAACUAUAGGGGCGCACAAAGUAAAUAAAAAAAAGGUUGCAGAAAUGGAAAAAGGGCUUAAGCCCAAAACACACAAAAAGAAUGCGGGGGUGCCAAGAUGAGAAAUGGGGGUGUGGAUGAGGAUAGGUUUUUUAUUCUUUUUUGGUUUUUGGGUUUGGCCAGAAGCCCAGGCAGCAAACAAAAGGGGUGUACGUGAGUAAUGAGGGUGUGGAGAAAAGUUUUCUAUAUUUUUU
rnacentral:lncRNA from 1 species